CCUACGGGCGGCAGCAGUGAGGAAUAUUGGUCAAUGGACGAGAGUCUGAACCAGCCAAGUAGCGUGAAGGAUGACUGCCCUAUGGGUUGUAAACUUCUUUUAUAUGGGAAUAAAAUGUUCCACGUGUGGGAUUUUGUAUGGACCAUAUGAAUAAGGAUCGGCUAACUCCGUGCCAGCAGCCGCGGUAAUACGGAGGAUCCGAGCGUUAUCCGGAUUUAUUGGGUUUAAAGGGAGCGUAGGUGGAUUGUUAAGUCAGUUGUGAAAGUUUGCGGCUCAACCGUAAAAUUGCAGUUGAAACUGGCAGUCUUGAGUACAGUAGAGGUGGGCGGAAUUCGUGGUGUAGCGGUGAAAUGCUUAGAUAUCACGAAGAACUCCGAUUGCGAAGGCAGUUCACUGGACUGCAACUGACACUGAGGCUCGAAAGUGUGGGUAUCAAACAGGAUUAGAUACCCUAGUAGUC
rnacentral:rRNA from 1 species